rnacentral:rRNA from 1 species
CGAGCGAGCUUGCCUAGAUGAAUUUGGUGCUUGCACCAAAUGAAACUAGAUACAAGCGAGCGGCGGACGGGUGAGUAACACGUGGGUAACCUGCCCAAGAGACUGGGAUAACACCUGGAAACAGAUGCUAAUACCGGAUAACAACACUAGACGCAUGUCUAGAGUUUAAAAGAUGGUUCUGCUAUCACUCUUGGAUGGACCUGCGGUGCAUUAGCUAGUUGGUAAGGUAACGGCUUACCAAGGCAAUGAUGCAUAGCCGAGUUGAGAGACUGAUCGGCCACAUUGGGACUGAGACACGGCCCAAACUCCUACGGGAGGCAGCAGUAGGGAAUCUUCCACAAUGGACGCAAGUCUGAUGGAGCAACGCCGCGUGAGUGAAGAAGGGUUUCGGCUCGUAAAGCUCUGUUGGUAGUGAAGAAAGAUAGAGGUAGUAACUGGCCUUUAUUUGACGGUAAUUACUUAGAAAGUCACGGCUAACUACGUGCCAGCAGCCGCGGUAAUACGUAGGUGGCAAGCGUUGUCCGGAUUUAUUGGGCGUAAAGCGAGUGCAGGCGGUUCAAUAAGUCUGAUGUGAAAGCCUUCGGCUCAACCGGAGAAUUGCAUCAGAAACUGUUGAACUUGAGUGCAGAAGAGGAGAGUGGAACUCCAUGUGUAGCGGUGGAAUGCGUAGAUAUAUGGAAGAACACCAGUGGCGAAGGCGGCUCUCUGGUCUGCAACUGACGCUGAG